rnacentral:lncRNA from 1 species
GAGCAUUUGUAUAUAUAUAAGGGCUGGCCCAAUUGUUAGUAGGAGUCCAGGAGUCACCUCAGACAUCAAACAUUGGGAUGCAUUAGCAAGGUGCUGGGGCAGAGAACUCUAUACCAUAUGUUUCCUUGGCCCUCUAAGGUUUCUAUUCAAAGCUCGUUGGCUGCUAUCAGUGCGGUGUAGGAUGUUAUUCAAUAGCCAGUUUUGAAGAAAGAUUCAACUGCCAGUGAAGUCAGGAAUGAAAAGGGACUCAACUUUUCCCCCUCUAACUCACCAAUAAAGUGUAUUGGUCCGGCUUGGCUGGAUAUAUUUUUUUAAUUUUUUACCUGUAGGUUUAUCUUGUGCCCUGAAUCUACUUUACCUGCAGCAAAAUUACCACUAUACUCCUAAGCCACAUCAAAGUACUUUCCAGUGCUCAUGCCCUCCUUUACCAGCCAUCAGAUGAAUAUAAGACAAAUGUUGGCAAAAAAGUCUUAUGCUUUAUUUAGACCUUUGGAACAUGUAACAUCUGUUCCUGCUGAUGGAAAAUAUCCUUUUGGUCACUGAGGGAUCACAGUCACAUGUUACCGCGAGAAAAGCCUGCGUGAAUCAACAGUCAGAUAGACUCAUCACUCUGCACCUAAUAGAUAUAUCCUGAAACGAAGCCAAAGCAUUCCUGUCCAAAGUGGGAGGCAGCAGCAUGCUCUCCAGUGGAUGACGGAAAAAAGACAGCCCAAGAAAGAAAAGAACAAGUAAAGCAGUCAAGGAUUUCAUGUUACUGCUUCCAUCCUGAUAUUCAAAUGUUGUUUAUGAUUUACCAUCUAUAACAGAGGACAGACCAUCCAAAGCCUAGCUUGUAGAAAAAGAGUAUCUUGCAGCAUUAAGGCAAAAAUAAGGCUAAUGAGCAGAAGACUUAAAAUAAUGCCCACAGUGACGGGACGUUGCACUGCCCAUUUAGCUCCAGAGAUUGCAGCAGGAUGGCCUGUGAAUGUCAAGAAUAUCUUCACAGCUGCAUGUUUCUUCACAGCUAUGAAGCAAGCACUUCUUGAAAUUGGGUGUGAGACGCAAAGAGGGCUGAAAGUAUAAGGAAGCAGGAUUUCGAUCGCCACACAACUUAAUGGAAGCCAUCUUUGAUACUUCUGUAACCUAGCAGUGAAUUAAAAUGCAUCUAUGUCCUUAAAAGAAUAAAUAUUUUACAAAAAUACCUGUUUCUCA